GCCCGCCAGCUCCCCGCGCCGCGCCCGGGCCGCUCUGCCGGUUCCGCGAGUCGCGCCGCCCUCGGUGCCGCGGCGUCGCCAUGGCGACCGGGCGGCGGCGAGUUGGCGGCGCCGCGGCCGACGCAACGAAGGUCAAGCGCGGGGUUGGGGGGGCGUCGCGGGGUCCGGAAGUGCCCCCAGUGGUCCCUGGAUCUCGGGACAGGGUCCUGUCACAUCCGAGCCCCAACCUGGAGUCCCGCGUGGCAGGGGCGCAGGAUGCUGGGGGGCGCGCAGGCGGCCCCCACCACCGGCCUUCCAGACCCUGCGCAGAGCAAGACCUUGCUGUGCUGGAAGGAGGUGGAAGAGGCACUGUACUCAGUUGCUGGGGCCGCUGCCUAAAUCAACAUGCCUGAACCAAAGCUGCCCCAGCUCAGGAAGGUGGCCUGGCCUUGGCACAGCAAAUAAUGGAAAGACACAUACCCUGACCAGUAGACAGAGUUCCUGAGGAACUUGCCUCAACUUCCUUGCAAAGAAAGCCAGGCUGCACGGGAAAGCACAUGGCUACUGUGAUGAGCUUACAAUGGAACAACAGUUCACUCGGGGGAAACCUAUGCUCCAGCUUCAGGGGGAGCAGAGGUGGCCAGAAAGGCAGCAGCCCCGGCAGGAGCAGCAGGAGCCCCCAGCAGAGCAGCCGCCAUGCGGCAGCCAGUGGGGCAGGGGGUUGGCCACAGCGCUUCCCGAGCCACCGCUGAAGACAAGGAGUCAUGUGAGACCACCAGAAUUCGAGGGGAUGAGGCUGAGGGACACAAAGGCUGUGUGUCCCAAGGUGACCUGGAGGCUGAGUGACCACCUGCCCAUGAGCCAGAAUCACACUGCAGGAUGGUUGGAGAAGCAACGAGAAUCAGAUACCAAACCCUACUCCACGCAGAACGUGGAGGGAGUCUUACUCGACAUCUGGC